UACGUAGGGGGCAAGCGUUGUCCGGAAUCAUUGGGCGUAAAGAGCGUGUAGGCGGCCAGAAAAGUCCGCUGUGAAAACUCGAGGCUCAACUUCGAGCUGUCGGCGGAAACUUUCUGGCUAGAGUCCGGAAGAGGAGAAUGGAAUUCCUGGUGUAGCGGUGAAAUGCGCAGAUAUCAGGAAGAACACCCGUGGCGAAGGCGGUUCUCUGGGACGGUACUGACGCUGAGACGCGAAAGCGUGGGGAGCGAACAGG
rnacentral:rRNA from 1 species